UCUCCAGGAAAUCCUUCGCCUGGCUCUCUACAUCCGACUGAGCAGCAGCAGCGCAGGACAGAGCUAACAGCGCGAUGACAACCCUAACACACAUUCUUGGCUGCUUCAGCUCCAUUCACACACUCUGACAAACUUGCUGUGGAUCAGUUCAAACAAAUCUGACAGCAACAUGUGACUGUGAGCCACCACCGCAGUAACUGCUCUGUUACUUCAGAGCAGGCGAUGCACCUGUUUUCAUGCCUGAGGACAUCGAGUUAGUGUGACAGCGCCCUCCUGUGGACACAACAGGGAUUCAC